CGUGGGUUCACAGUCGGAGGUCACCGCGGCCCCAGAGUGCAGACGAGGAGGCCGCAGCUGCUCCGGCUGCUUAGACCGUGGUUCUGGAGCUGGAGGGGGAGAGGAGGAGACAGUGAUUUGAGAAGGGGAUUGUGGCUGGGACAGCGUUAGGGGGUCCUCAAAGGUCUGCAGGGGGGCCCCCCUGUGUUUCAUGCCACAGCCCUCCAGAAGAGUGGAUGACGCUGUCGAUACAGGAGGUAUCUGCAAAGGAGAAGCGAUAUUCAUUCUUGCAGUGUGUGGAUGAGCCGGUGUGGGUUCCACCGGUUCCUGUGGUUUGGCAAGCGGGGAACUCAGAGGCCGGCUGUCCCUGUCUGGAUCUAGAGUUGGUGAUUUAAUGUUGUCAGGUGUGUCUUGAGAGGCUGGGGAAGGGAUGGCUGGUGCAUUGGGGAUAGUUUGGCCUGUGCCGCCUGAUCUGGAGUGGGGAGAGGUGGAAAAUCCUGUAGAGAGGGUUCCACACUCUCCGGGCCCACCUGU